GGUUAAGCGACUAAGCGUACACGGUGGAUGCCCUGGCAGUCAGAGGCGAUGAAGGACGUGCUAAUCUGCGAAAAGCGUCGGUAAGGUGAUAUGAACCGUUACAGCCGGCGAUGUCCGAAUGGGGAAACCCAGUGCAAUUCGUUGCACUAUCGUUUGAUGAAUACAUAGUCAAACGAGGCGAACCGGGGGAACUGAAACAUCUAAGUACCCCGAGGAAAAGAAAUCAACCGAGAUUCCCCCAGUAGCGGCGAGCGAACGGGGAGCAGCCCGGAGUCUGAAUCAGCUUGUGUGUUAGUGGAAGCGUCUGGAAAGUCGCAGGGUACAGGGUGAUACUCCCGUACACUAAAACGCACAGGUUGUGAACUCGAAGAGUAGGGCGGGACACGUGGUAUCCUGUCUGAAUAUGGGGGGACCAUCCUCCAAGGCUAAAUACUCCUGACUGACCGAUAGUGAACCAGUACCGUGAGGGAAAGGCGAAAAGAACCCCGGCGAGGGGAGUGAAAAAGAACCUGAAACCGUGUACGUACAAGCAGUAGGAGCCCACUAGUUGGGUGACUGCGUACCUUUUGUAUAAUGGGUCAGCGACUUAUAUUCUGUAGCAAGGUUAACCGUAUAGGGGAGCCGCAGGGAAACCGAGUCUUAACUGGGCGUUAAGUUGCAGGGUAUAGACCCGAAACCCGGUGAUCUAGCCAUGGGCAGGUUGAAGGUUGGGUAACACUAACUGGAGGACCGAACCGACUAAUGUUGAAAAAUUAGCGGAUGACUUGUGGCUGGGGGUGAAAGGCCAAUCAAACCGGGAGAUAGCUGGUUCUCCCCGAAAGCUAUUUAGGUAGCGCCUCGUGAAUUCAUCUUCGGGGGUAGAGCACUGUUUCGGCUAGGGGGUCAUCCCGACUUACCAACCCGAUGCAAACUACGAAUACCGAAGAAUGUUAUCACGGGAGACACACGGCGGGUGCUAACGUCCGUCGUGAAGAGGGAAACAACCCAGACCGCCAGCUAAGGUCCCAAAGUCAUGGUUAAGUGGGAAACGAUGUGGGAAGGCCCAGACAGCCAGGAUGUUGGCUUAGAAGCAGCCAUCAUUUAAAGAAAGCGUAAUAGCUCACUGGUCGAGUCGGCCUGCGCGGAAGAUGUAACGGGGCUAAACCAUGCACCGAAGCUGCGGCAGCGACACUAUGUGUUGUUGGGUAGGGGAGCGUUCUGUAAGCCGUUGAAGGUGGCCUGUGAGGGUUGCUGGAGGUAUCAGAAGUGCGAAUGCUGACAUAAGUAACGAUAAUGCGGGUGAAAAACCCGCACGCCGGAAGACCAAGGGUUCCUGUCCAACGUUAAUCGGGGCAGGGUGAGUCGACCCCUAAGGCGAGGCCGAAAGGCGUAGUCGAUGGGAAACAGGUUAAUAUUCCUGUACUCGGUGUUACUGCGAAGGGGGGACGGAGAAGGCUAUGUUGGCCGGGCGACGGUUGUCCCGGUUUAAGCAUGUAGGCGGAUGUUCCAGGUAAAUCCGGAACGUUACUAACGCUGAGGUGUGAUGACGAGGCACUACGGUGCUGAAGUGACAAAUGCCCUGCUUCCAGGAAAAGCCUCUAAGCAUCAGGUAACAUCAAAUCGUACCCCAAACCGACACAGGUGGUCAGGUAGAGAAUACCAAGGCGCUUGAGAGAACUCGGGUGAAGGAACUAGGCAAAAUGGUGCCGUAACUUCGGGAGAAGGCACGCUGAUGGUAAGUGAAGCGACUUGCUCGUGGAGCUGAAAUCAGUCGAAGAUACCAGCUGGCUGCAACUGUUUAUUAAAAACACAGCACUGUGCAAACACGAAAGUGGACGUAUACGGUGUGACGCCUGCCCGGUGCCGGAAGGUUAAUUGAUGGGGUUAUCCGUAAGGAGAAGCUCUUGAUCGAAGCCCCGGUAAACGGCGGCCGUAACUAUAACGGUCCUAAGGUAGCGAAAUUCCUUGUCGGGUAAGUUCCGACCUGCACGAAUGGCGUAAUGAUGGCCAGGCUGUCUCCACCCGAGACUCAGUGAAAUUGAACUCGCUGUGAAGAUGCAGUGUACCCGCGGCAAGACGGAAAGACCCCGUGAACCUUUACUAUAGCUUGACACUGAACACUGGUCCUUGAUGUGUAGGAUAGGUGGGAGGCUUUGAAGUGUGGACGCCAGUCUGCAUGGAGCCAUCCUUGAAAUACCACCCUUUAAUGGCUGGUGUUCUAACGUGGGCCCGUAAUCCGGGUUGCGGACAGUGUCUGGUGGGUAGUUUGACUGGGGCGGUCUCCUCCUAAAGAGUAACGGAGGAGCACGAAGGUCAGCUAAUCCUGGUCGGACAUCAGGAGGUUAGUGCAAUGGCAUAAGCUGGCUUGACUGCGAGCGUGACGGCGCGAGCAGGUGCGAAAGCAGGUCAUAGUGAUCCGGUGGUUCUGAAUGGAAGGGCCAUCGCUCAACGGAUAAAAGGUACUCCGGGGAUAACAGGCUGAUACCGCCCAAGAGUUCAUAUCGACGGCGGUGUUUGGCACCUCGAUGUCGGCUCAUCACAUCCUGGGGCUGAAGUAGGUCCCAAGGGUAUGGCUGUUCGCCAUUUAAAGUGGUACGCGAGCUGGGUUUAGAACGUCGUGAGACAGUUCGGUCCCUAUCUGCCGUGGGCGCUGGAGAAUUGAGGGGGGCUGCUCCUAGUACGAGAGGACCGGAGUGGACGCAUCACUGGUGUUCGGGUUGUCAUGCCAAUGGCAUUGCCCGGUAGCUAAAUGCGGAAGAGAUAAGUGCUGAAAGCAUCUAAGCACGAAACUUGCCCCGAGAUGAGUUCUCCCUGACCCUUUAAGGGUCCUGAAGGAACGUUGAAGACGACGACGUUGAUAGGCCGGGUGUGUAAGCGCAGCGAUGCGUUGAGCUAACCGGUACUAAUGAACCGUGAGGCUUAACCUU
rnacentral:rRNA from 1 species